rnacentral:lncRNA from 1 species
GAUGUAAAUUAAGUUUACAUCCUAAACUUUAUGCAAGUCUUAUAAUUUUUUUUUCUUCACUAAAAAUAAAAAAAAUUAUAAUUCUGUUUUUUUUUAAGAGAGAUAGGUAGCACGCUACCUGCUUCGUUUAUUUCAUUUAGAAAUAAACUUAGCUGGAAAUGUGAAUCAACCAGAAUUCGAACUUGAGACUUCGGAUACCAACCACCAAGUCCUUUGCCACUUGCUCUAGGGACGGUCAGUUAAAAAAAAAAAAUUAUAAUUCCUAGGAUCUAAGAGGGUAAGAAGUACACCCCUAAUUAAAUGGGGUAUAUACAACAAUUUUUUUUUCAAAAAAUAAAAGCAUUGUUAUCUGUACACUUCUAAAGGAGUGUAUGUAUAUUACAAAGAAUUAGUUCUUAUUUUCUCUUUUUUUUUAACACUAAGGGCGUGUGUUGUUCGAAGUCGGAAUUGGAAUUAGAAUCGGAAUUGGAAUGACUCAUUAUCUAAUUCUGUUUGAUUCAUCACCUAAAUCAGAAUCGGAAUAAAUCAUUUAUAUUGUUGGUGUUUGGUUCAGGUAAAUUUAAAAAACGUAAUCAGAUUAAUAUAUUAACUUUAUCUUUAUAAUAAAUUAAUUUAAAUUCAAAUUAAAAAUUAAAUAUUAAAAAUUUACAUCAGAAUUUUAAAAUGAUGUCAAAAUUUUAAAUCUAUUUUUUUAAAAAAAUUGAAUAAAACUUUAUAUAAAUUAAAAUUUUAAUUUAAAUUCAAAUUAAUAAGUUAGAUUCGAAAUACUUGAUUAAAUUUUAAUUUUUAAUUCAAGUUCAAAUUAAAAAUUAAAAAUUUAAUUUCUAAAUUUAAGCUCAUAUUUUAAUUUAAAAAAUUAAAAAAAUAAAUUUAAUCCGAUUAAAUAUCCAUUCCGUCCGGAUUCAACUUCCAAUCCGGCUUCCUAGGCCGGAUUGAAAAAGAGGUGAUUGGGAGAUUCCCAUUCCACUCAGGAAGGUAUAGGAUAUACACAUCCUCUUUUGUGGUCUACAGAUAAUAGUUAUAAAAAAAGAGAACAAUUUGAAACAUAAUCUUUUGAAAAUUUAAAAUAAAUAUCACAAAUACUUUCUCAAAAUCUAAUAUAUCAUUCAUAUUCUUCUAAAUAUGGAAAUUUAUCAUUCAUGCCGCUCUAAAUACAUAAAUAUGUCACAAUUCACAAAUGCCUCUAAACCCCAAACUCAAAGCCUAAAUUUUAAAUCCUAAAUC